GUCGCAUAUAAAAAAGUCUAGUUAGAACCCAUGCAAGUGCCAAAACGAGUCACCUAUCUCAACAAUUAAGCCUUAUGAAUUGGUCGUACAAGAAAACAAUAAUAAAAAUUCUUUCAAUUCCAGUGAUACUUCCACAAUUUAAUUUCACAUUUGAUUAGAAAAUUUCUGGUAUGGUGUUGAUGUUAUUACACAUUUUGUGUAAUUUUUUGGAGCAUUAAUAUAUACAUUUUGUGUAGUUAAUAUAUAUAAUUACACUAUUUAAUAAAUAAAUAAAUUUAAUAGAAUAAAAUUUAGGUUAUUUGUUGGCAAUCCUUUUAGGACUUCUUCUAUGGUCCUCUUCAUUGAGGCUUAUUGGGUUGGUGGCAUUAAUGUUGUCAAGUUGAAGAUUUCUAGUUGUGCUUUUGAGUAUACUAUUCGUGUGUGGGCCAGGCCCCAACCCUCCACUUCGGUUUCCUUGAGCAUGUUGUGCUUUAGCUCUCUUUAUUUCACAUAUUCUGAUUAUUUACAUACAAAAUUAAAUCAUUAGUAUAUAGUAACAAUAACAUAUUAAUUUAAUCAAACUAUGCUAUGCAUAUGAAUAUGAUUACUGGAAAAUGGAAUUAAUAAAACUUACAUGGUAAUUGUCAUAGAUUUUUUAGAGGAAGACUUGUAAUUGGGCGUUGGAAGCAUUGUUGGCAUAUGGAUGAAACUACCAGCAGCAAGAGCCAUGAUGAGAAAUAAUAAAGAAGAAGCUUGCUUAUACUUUAUAGUACAAAAUGUUAGUGUGUUCAAUCUAUGUUUGGUUGUAGUAUCUGAUCAUGUGAUUUUGAAGGAGUGAUUUAUAGGGAAUGAAGUGUGUAGGAACAAUUGAAGAAAAU
rnacentral:lncRNA from 1 species